rnacentral:rRNA from 1 species
GUCUACGGCCACACGACCCUGAACGCGCCUGAUCUCGUCUGAUCCAGAAGCUAAGCAGGAUUGGGCCUGGUUAGUACUUGGAUGGGAGAAUGACUGUUAUCAAAAAGUCCCAAAACAAUAAAUGCUAUUGAAAACA